AUGAUGUGGUUUAAUUCGAUGCAACGCGAAAACCUUACCCACCUUUGACAUGGCAGGAAUCCUGAAGAGAUUUGGGAGUGCUCGAAAGAGAACCUGCACACAGGUGCUGCAUGGCUGUCGUCAGCUCGUGUCGUGAGAUGUUGGGUUAAGUCCCGCAACGAGCGCAACCCUUGCCAUUAGUUGCUACGAAAGGGCACUCUAAUGGGACUGCCGGUGACAAACCGGAGGAAGGUGGGGAUGACGUCAAGUCCUCAUGGCCCUUAUAGGUGGGGCUACACACGUCAUACAAUGGCCGGUACAGAGGGUAGCCAACCCGCGAGGGGGAGCCAAUCCCACAAAGCCGGUCGUAGUCCGGAUUGUUCUCUGCAACUCGAGAGCAUGAAGUCGGAAUCGCUAGUAAUCGCAGGUCAGCAUACUGCGGUGAAUACGUUCCCGGGUCUU
rnacentral:rRNA from 1 species